GGCAACCCGGACCCGGAUAUCUCCUGGUUUAAAGACUUCCUCCCCGUCAAUACCACCAACAACAACGGCCGCAUUAAACAGCUGCGAUCAGGUGGUACGCCAAUAAGAGGUAAGCGUGCUGAACUGACGCCUCACAGAAUGAAAAAAAAAAACAAAAAAAAAAAACAAAAAGCAA